rnacentral:misc_RNA from 1 species
AUAGGUUUGCAUGCUGAUUCAAACAACUCUCCUCAUGAAAUUCAGUUACCAAAUGAGGAGGAAAGUUGGAGCUUGUUUACUGGCACUUUGAAGGUAGAAAUCCCUCCAGAACUAGAGGAUAUUGGGAAAAAAAUUGUAAGAAGCUGUGGACGGGUGCGGCGAAAUAUUAUUCGUAUGGGGAAUCUGUUGUCCAAGAAUAGCGUGACUCAUGAAAAUUGGUCAAGGUUGCUAAAGCAGUUCAAUAAAGGCCAGACACCUUGGAUAAAAACACAAAAGGUGUACAUGGACUUACCCCGAAACUUGAGAAAAUGCCUUGAUUAUUUCAGAUUGUUCCCUGUUGACUUUGAGAUCCCUGCGAGAAGAUUGAUCACCCUGUGGGUUGCCGAGGGUUUUGUCAAUAAGAGAAUGGAUGAUGAACCUCCUGAACAUAUUGCUAGAAGGUACUUAAAGGACUUGAUAGAUAAAGAAAUGGUUCAAGUUGUGAAAGAAAAGUUUGAUGGAGGUGUCACAUGUCGUUUGUCCAAAGAGGGAGCUAAGUUCCUCCAAGACUAUGCUGAAGCGACUUCUGCAUUCUCUUCAAGCAUUCAUGGGCCUCGCCG